UGAAAGCUCAGCAAAUUAUCAAUACUCAUCUCCUCCUCCACCAGUGCAUGUCUAUCCAUCACCACCCCAUCACCCUGUAUAUAAGUCUCCACCACCACCUAAGAAGCCCUACCACCCUUCACCAACCCCAUAUCAUCCUGUACCCGUUUAUAAAUCUCCACCCCCACCAACUCCAGUUUACAAGUCGCCACCACCACCCAAGAAGCCACAAUAUCCUCCACACAUCCCGGUUUAUAAGUCGCCACCACCACCAACUCCCGUUUACAAGUCACCACCACCACCCAAGAAGCCACACUACCCUCCACACAUCCCUGUUUAUAAGUCACCACCACCGCCCAAGAAGCCAUACUAUCCUCCACAUACUCCAGUUUACAAGUCGCCACCACCACCAACUCCGGUUUACAAGUCACCACCGCCACCCAAGAAACCAUACUAUCCUCCACACAUCCCUGUUUACAAAUCUCCACCACCACCUACUCCAGUUUACAAGUCGCCACCACCACCCAAGAAGCCAUACUACCCUCCACACACCCCGGUUUAUAAGUCUCCACCACCACCAACUCCUGUUUACAAGUCACCACCACCACCCAAGAAGCCAUACUAUCCUCCACACACACCAGUUUACAAGUCGCCACCACCACCUACUCCCGUUUACAAGUCACCACCACCACCAACACCCGUUUACAAGUCACCACCACCACCUAAGAAGCCACACCAUCCUUCACCAACCCCAUAUCAUCCUGCACCAGUUUACAAGUCCCCACCACCACCUAAGAAGCCAGACCACCCUUCACCAACACCGUAUCAUCCUGCACCAGUUUACAAAUCCCCACCGCCACCUACUCCAGUUUACAAGUCACCACCACCUUCAGUGAAGCCAUACCAUCCUUCACCAACACCAUAUCAUCCUGCACCAGUUUAUAAGCCUCCACCACCACCAACUCCUGUCUACAAGUCACCUCCACCACCAACUCCAGUCUACAAGUCUCUACCACCGCACCACCCCUAUCUUUACACUUCUCCUCCUCCUCCCUACCAUUACUAAGAAGUGUCAUCGCAAAGUUGAAGG
rnacentral:lncRNA from 1 species